ACUGCAUCCGGUUUUGGUCACCAUGAUGUAAAAAAGAUUGUCAUUAGAUACCUGGAUCAUACUACCACAUGCGGUGGAUGUGUGUGGAAGCCAAGAGAUACUAGGCUAAAAUUCAUACAUGGCUG